CCGGUACAUCGAGUGCAUCGGAUGCAUUGAAUGCGUCAUCGAUUGGCAGUGGAUGUCGGCGCGGUGCGUAGACGUCACGCAAUCGAGGCUGAGACGUCACCGGGAUUGCUUUACACCGUACGCGGCGAACGCGAUGCGACAUUCGCGCACAAGGCACUUCGCACGCGCUCGCUGAACUGGUGGGAUCAAAAUCGAGAGUCGCAGCGGAGUCACGCAAGCGCCAAUCCUGGAGGAACCUUCAGAUCAUUCGUCUCCGCAGUUUGCGCUUACGGAGAUGAAAAGAAGGUGACGAAGCGAGGUGACAAAGAGGUAAAAAAGAAGAACGAGUCGAGGGGGUUUCACCGCUUCUAUAUACGAAGAAUUGUUCGACGUACGCGCGUGCGCCGCAAAUAUAGACCCGACGUAUUUCUGCCAGUCGAAGCUCAGACUCAGCUUUGUGUAUGCCCAUAAUUCCCACACAUACAAACUAUAUAACAUGCGUUUAUUACAUACAUAUACAUGUACACAAACAUAUGCACCCGCGCGCAAGAGAGAGAACACGAUGAUUAUUGCUCAUUAAAUUAUCUUCCACGUGCUGUGUGCGCAUCAGAUCUUUUCUUUGCACAUACGCUACGUAUACAUACACAUAUAUACGCGUGCACGCUCUAAAGUCCGUGAACGUUCCUGCAUCUCUCUCUUUCUUAUUCCUAUGUUGAAACUUGGCAACUUCACGAUCUCAACUUGUAAAAAAACGGCGUACUCAUUACGAGCUUUUUUUUCUUGUUUUGAUUUUCUUUUUUAAUCUUUCUCGUGGGUUGCGUAGUUUAUCAAGGAUUAUUUCUAAAUAAUUCCAAUAAUCAAAUGUGUUAGCCAAAGUUUUGUGUGUGUGCGUGUAUAUACAUAUAAAACAUUGUAUAUUAUCAUUGUAAUGAACGAAGCUCUUUGAGUCCAAGAAAGCGCUUGGUAAUGUGUUAAUUCUCUGUACGCGUUGUCCAUCUUUUUUUUUGCCUCUAUCCGCUUCGUUCUGCCCAUCUGUUUCCCUCAAGCGUACCGCAGGCAACAGCAGACAAGUUCAGUCACUCUCCACAUAUAACUAUAUAACUAUAUAUAUAUAUGUAUGUACAUACGUAUGUAUGUAUGUAUGUAUGUAUGUAUGUAUGUAUGUAUGUAUGUAUGUAUGUAUGUAUGUAUGUAUGUAUGUAUGUAUGUAUGUAUGUAUGUAUGUAUGUAUGUAUGUAUGUAUGUAUGUAUGUAUGUACGUACGUACGUAUAUAUAUAUCUUUUGUACGUUGAAAGUCGACGGCAAUUCUCCAUGAGAGAGCACGUCAAUAACCCGUUGCGGCUUCGUCACGAUAGAUAUCAUGCAUUUAUGUAGCGUUUAUAUAGAUGUGUGCGAUACGUAUACACGUACAAGUCCUUUUCACAAUAUAUUCGGCGGACGUUCACCUGUAUCUCGCGAACAUCUUUUAAUAAAUUCUUUACAUCUUUGUAUCCGUUUAAAAACAAUAACUAUUAAUAAUAACUAACAAACAAAGAAAUAUAACAUCUGAAUGACAGAACAAAAAUUCUCCUCCAUAAUGUAAAAUAUUUCAUAUCUAACACAGAUCUCCAUUAAUUAUUACCAUUAAAUGAACUACAUGGUUUCUAACACGUGAUUAGAAAAUAAAAGUUUACCUGCAACAUUAUGUUGAUGAUGAUUAUACGUAAGAGGAACUGAAUGUAAUGCCCUGGCAGACCACUUCCGGUGUCUGGAAUCUUCGUCUUCAUCAUCGGCUUGCUGCCCAUCUUCUCCUAAGAAAUGAACCUUUUCGUACCUGUCUAGAUAUCUGAAAAACAUUGACCAAUUGACAUAUAAGUAUCAUGCUCAAUAGAUAACGAUCAUUGUUAUGCUAUGGGAAAUUACUUUAAUUUAAAUAUUCAUUGAUAAAAAAUUCUGAAUAAGGUUCUUUGACAAACUGAAUAACAGAUCGAUCGACAGAUGAAUGAGGCAGAUGUAAAGUAUCAGAGAUUCAAUUUGAGAGACAAAGAAGCAAGAUCACGAGAGAUGAAGUGAAGAGUGAAUUGAAGAGAGAGAAAGAGAAAGAAGAUGGGGGUGGAAGAGGGAGAGGAUACGAUAUCGUGGGGGGCAAAAGAAAAUGGUGGGGGAAAGAUGUAGUGAAUCCAUUCAUGCACUACGUAGUAGUAGACCACGGAAGGUGCAAGCGGUGGAGCCAGCCAACCAGAGCCUGAUUGGCGGUUAGUGGAUGCAGGCCGUGCAUGGACACUUUGAUUACUGUAGCGGCAUAGCAGUAUCCGUGCGAAUCUCAACAGCACUACAUGUUCUUUAAUUUGUUUCAUUGUAACUAGAGAAUAUGUUACAGUUUAAAUAUAUUAUAAUUUAAAUGUUUAUGGCAUCUUCUUGUUAAAAGAUCAUUAUGGUGAAAGGAACUAUGGUGAUUUAUACUUUGCAUAUGUAUAAUUACGUACGUGUGAUAAAACUUUAUGACUAUAAAUAGUUGAGAACUCUACACUCUUCGUAUAAUAUGAUUCUAUGUGAAAAUAUUGUUAUCUUAAUGAGAAAAAGAAAGUUACAAAAAAAAAAAGACUAAUUUAAAGAGACAUUCGUAUAUAAGAGAGAUUCGUAUAUAAAUAGAUUUGAAACAUCGUUAUCACGAAUACAAAUAGCGGUCACACUUCGAACAACGAAUCGGUGUAUCGCGAUAUCAGUCGGAGGAAGCACGACGUCCUCAACGUUCGACGAGCUAGCGAGACAACAAGGUUGCAGGGCUCGAUUGGAGAGAGAGGACAGCGACUGAGAAAGCACGUGGCGCGUCGGUGAGGCCGGCACUGAAUGAAUGAAUGAACGUAACGUACGAUACGAUACGGAAAAUGGUGGUGGGGCGGAGGACCAACGCCGAUACUCGGUGGUGGUAGCGCAGCAUUUUGCUACUACCUCUGCUCUUGCAGACGCUCGCGGGCUGUCAGAGGCGGUAGAACCGCUUUCCAUCCGAGGGCGCGCGGCGACCUAACAAGCUUGCACGCUCGCGCAAACUCUUUUUCUUUUCUACAACGUUUCGUAAUAUAUACGAAAGCAUCAUGUGUGUGUGUGUGUGUGUGUGAAAAUAUAUAUAUAUAUAUAUAUCCUUGGUCAAACCAAUUGGCUAAGCUCGAUUGAUCCAAUAUCUACUUUUAUUAAGAGAUUCGGAAUUUCCAGACUUUUUCGUCGAAUUCACUCUCCAAGAGAUCUACCGAAGUCCACUUACCGAAGGUAUAUUUGUUUAAGACCGAUUCCACUGUUGACACAGCCGUUUGGCAGAUGAAAUUGUUCGCAUAGCGAGGCCCAUUCAUUUCUGGUAUUCACCUGCAAUGCAGAAAUUAAUAUGCGUUACGUAAACGAUUAUUUUUAAUUGCUAAAAAAAAAAGAAGUAUAUAUAUAUUUAUGAAGACAUUUGAUAAUCAAUUAUUUUUGUAAAAAAUCAAUUAUUUGUAAAUAUUAUUGAUAUUAUUGCAAUCCUUUUACAGGACUUUUAAUCAAUAAUACAAUAUGGCGUAAACUUUUCCAAAUAUGUAAUAUUUCUAAAAAAAAAUGUUAGAAUAGAUUUAUUUUUAAGUUGCGCUCAUUAUGGACAAUUUUUCACUUAAAUAUUCUUCACACUGACAAGACUAUCCAUUGAUUCCGCUGAAUAAAGAAUUCUGAAUAUUGCGAGUUUGAUCGUUAUAAUAAUUGCUUGUCAUAGAAUGAGUACAUAUAUAAAUAAUGAAAGCAAGUUCGAAGUAAUGAGAAUCGAACGACUUUGAAGAAUUCAACAAGCUAUAACGCAAGAUCAAAAAAAGGAAAAGACAACUUUUCAUCAGACUAUAAAUAUAUCAUUUGACUAACAAUUCGUUAAUUACUUCGUAAAAAAUCAUUCUGCUAUUGAGAAAUGAUUAUGUUAGAAAGAUUAAUGAGAGAAGGGAAAACUUCAGUAGGUAAUAACCCAAGUAAUUAUUCAAAGUAUUCGUGGCACUGUAAAAGCUAUCAGUUGAAAGGAUUUAAAACUUUCUGUAGCUUGGAAUUACAAUGGCUUUAUAACGUUGACAACAAGUCGAGAAAAACAAAGCUUUGAUGUAUAACCAAAGCAAAUAAAAAGUGUCGAGGAUGGUUAGAGGGGGCAGGGAAUAUGUAAAUCCAAACAAAGAGAACAAAGAGAAAUUCAAUAGGAUAGAAAUUUGUUUAGAAACGCUAUAAAAGAAAUCGCUCUGUUGUGUAACAUAAAGAAGAAGUAAAAGAAAA